GUGUACACACAGACACGGAUUCUGCAGACUGAUCCUGACGCUCUGCUGUCGUGAUCAAGCAGAACAUAUGCUGUAAGAAGAGCAGUAUAGUUCUCCGAUCAAUUAAUCAGUAAAAAUCAUUCUCAUGCAAAGAAGACUUCACUGGGAAAAUGAUAAUGGAAAUACAACUACCAGGGAAACAAGGUCCAGGUGCCAUGUGGAAAAUGAUUGAUGUUCCAAGGAUGGGAGAAGGAUGCAAACUGGGAACCGUCCAAGUUGUAAGCAUCUAGAAAUCAAGGGAAAAUACCUACUU